rnacentral:rRNA from 1 species
AGAGUUUGAUCAUGGCUCAGAUUGAACGCUGGCGGUAGGCUUAACACAUGCAAGUCGAGCGAGAAAGUAUCUUCGGAUAUGAGUAGAGCGGCGGACGGGUGAGUAACGCGUAGGAAUCUACCUAGUAGAAGGGGAUAGCCCGGGGAAACUCGGAUUAAUACCGUAUACCUCCUAAGGGAGAAAGAGGGCCUCUCUUGAUGCUCUCGCUAUUAGAUGAGCCUGCGUAAGAUUAGCUUGUUGGUAAGGUAAUGGCUUACCAAGGCUACGAUCUUUAGCUGGUCUGAGAGGACGAUCAGCCACAUUGGGACUGAGACACGGCCCAGACACCUACGGGAGGCAGCAGUGGGGAAUAUUGGACAAUGGGCGCAAGCCUGAUCCAGCCAUACCGCGUGUGUGAAGAAGGCCUUCGGGUUGUAAAGCACUUUAAGCAGGGAGAAAAAGUUAUAAGUUAAUACCUUAUAACCGUGAUGUUACCUGCAGAAUAAGCACCGGCUAAUUCCGUGCCAGCAGCCGCGGUAAUACGGAAGGUGCAAGCGUUAAUCGGAAUUACUGGGCGUAAAGCGCGCGUAGGUGGUUUGUUAAGUUGGAUGUGAAAGCCCUGGGCUCAACCUAGGAACUGCAUCCAAAACUAACUCACUA